rnacentral:misc_RNA from 1 species
CGCUGUUUUUCUCGCUGACUUUCAGCGGGCGGAAAAGCCUCGGCCUACCGCCAGACACCAUCCAGUGUGGAACAAACAAAAAAUGUCAGCCGCUGGCUCGCUCACCUCUCCCGGGAACCUGCGGUGGCCCGCCCGCCCAGCCCCAGCGCCCCGCCUGAGGCCGCGGUCGGCCCGGGGCUUCUCCGGAGGUGCCCAUUGCCGCCGUGAAGAGUUGGGCUCUGUCAGCCGCGGGUCGCUCGGUGGGCCGAGGCAUGGCUGUAACCGCAGGGAAAGGAACGGAGCGGGGUCCCCGCGCGCGGUGCGCUUCCCUGAGCUGUGGGA